GUGAAUCAUCGAAUUUUUGAACGCAAAUUGCACUCUCUGGUAUUCCGGAGAGUAUGUCUGUUUGAGGGUAAGUUUAAAUAAAAAUCGGUCUGGUUGCUGCUUUUCGUGGUGACGCAUCGGAUUUGGGUCGUCUUGCCUUCGGUUAAGUGACCUAAAAUUUUGCAUGAUUUUUUUAGAAAGGUUUUAAAUGAUUUUUCGUAUGUUUGUGUUAGCGAUUAAUAGGUGUGGUACUUCUCA
rnacentral:misc_RNA from 1 species